rnacentral:rRNA from 1 species
GUGCCAGCAGCCGCGGUAAUACAGAGGGUGCGAGCGUUAAUCGGAAUUACUGGGCGUAAAGCGCACGUAGGCGGCUCUGCAAGUCGGUUGUGAAAUCCCCGGGCUCAACCUGGGAACUGCGACCGAGACUGCAUUGCUAGAGUAUGGGAGAGGAAAGCGGAAUUUCUGGUGUAGCAGUGAAAUGCGUAGAUAUCAGAAGGAACAUCAGUGGCGAAGGCGGCUUUCUGGACCAAUACUGACGCUCAGGUGCGAAAGCGUGGGGAGCAAACAGGAUUAGAAACCCUCGUAGUCC